rnacentral:rRNA from 1 species
CGUGGUGGAUAACUCUUCGAAAGGAGAGCUAAUACAGCAUAAGACCACGGCUUCGAAAGAAGCUGAGGUCAAAGCGGAGGAUCGUAAGACUUCGCGCUUGGGGAUGAGCCUGCGGCCCAUCAUUUGGGUAGUUGGCGGGGUAAUAGCCCACCAAGGCUUUGAUGGGUAGCUGGUCUGAGAGGAUGAUCAGCCACACUGGAACUGAAACACGGUCCAG